rnacentral:rRNA from 1 species
UACGUAGGGUGCGAGCGUUAAUCGGAAUUACUGGGCGUAAAGCGCGCGCAGGCGGUCUUCCAAGUCAGUGGUGAAAGCCCGGAGCUCAACUCCGGAAUUGCCAUUGAAACUGUUAGACUUGAGGAUGAGAGAGGUGAGUGGAAUUCCCAGUGUAGAGGUGAAAUUCGUAGAUAUUGGGAAGAACACCGGUGGCGAAGGCGGCUCACUGGCUCAUUACUGACGCUCAGGCGCGAUAGCGUGGGGAUCAAACAGG